rfam:Gossypium hirsutum cultivar TM-1 unplaced genomic scaffold scaffold506.1, whole genome shotgun sequence
UGUUAAAAAUUUUAUUAUUUCUUCCGUUAAAAAUUGACAUGACUAUUAGAAUAACCAAAUAAUUAUAUGUGGCAUAUCACGAGUAUCUCUUUCUAACAUAUAAUGAAUAGUUUUUAACAAUAGAAAUGUAUAGAGUUUUUAAUA